rnacentral:sRNA from 1 species
CCUGCACACCUUGUCCGCGCCGUCCCUGACGGCACGAC